rnacentral:rRNA from 1 species
AAGGGCACCACAAGAGCGCGUGGAGCAUGUGGCUUAAUUUGACUCAACGCGGGAAAUCUUACCGGGUCCGGACACACUGAGGAUUGACAGGUAUUAUAUAGCGCGCUUGCGCGUCUAUUGUUAAAUAUGCUAGUCCUUUCAUGAUUAUGUGAUAGGUGGUGCAUGGCCGUUCUUAGUUCGUGGAGUGAUCUGUCUGCUUAGUUGCGUUUCAGAUAAGGAUCUAUAUUCUUUACAGAAGUGUUGCGUUGUGCAUUUGACCCCUCGUUCGCGAGUGCGUGUCUUUUCGCGCUCGCACGCUUUUUACAUUAGGUCCUGAAAGCAACGAACGUGACCGCAACCUCUUGUUGCCUCAUCUCCCUACUUUUUAGCGAGCACUUCGGUGUGCGUUAAUAAUUUCAUUGAGGCUUUCCAAAACUAGAGGGACCGCUGUCAACUUCUUGAACCGGAGGAAGGUUGCGGCAAUAACAGGUCUGUGAUGCCCUUAGAUGUUCCGGGCUGCACACGUGCUACAAUGAUUGUUGCAGUGAGCAUCUCAAUUUUUUACCUAACACCGCACACGUGAGUGCAUACUUGUAUGUUACUUUACGCAGCGGUAAAGCCUGCUUCGAGAGCAAGUGGGUAAUCAAUUAGAAGUAACGAUUUCCCAAAUUAGCACACUUAUAUGCGGCGUUUGCGCCCGGGUAUCACUUGUUGGUACUUCUGUGCGUGCAGAUGUUUUUUUCCGCAUGUGCAAUUGUCAAUUCAUGGUGGGGACAGACCAUUGUUAAUUGUUGGUCUCGGUCUUAACUAGGAAUGCCUUGUACGGGUCUUUGGUUCAACAAACCACCCGGAAUACGUCCCUGCCCUUUGUACACACCGCCCGUCGCUCUUACCGAUGGACUUCUCUGUGAGUUUGAGGGACUGGAUUUGAUCGCACUCGUGCGCAUUAAUAUCUAUGGAAACUUAAACGAACAGUGUGGUCUAAAGGAAAGAGAAGUCGUAACAAGGCAUCGGUAGGUGAACCU